rnacentral:rRNA from 1 species
AUUGAACGCUGGCGGCAGGCCUAACACAUGCAAGUCGAGCGGAUGAAGGGAGCUUGCUCCUGGAUUCAGCGGCGGACGGGUGUGUAAUGCCUAGGAAUCUGCCUGGUAGUGGGGGAUAACGUCCGGAAACGGGCGCUAAUACCGCAUACGUCCUGAGGGAGAAAGUGGGGGAUCUUCGGACCUCACGCUAUCAGAUGAGCCUAGGUCGGAUUAGCUAGUUGGUGGGGUAAAGGCCUACCAAGGCGACGAUCCGUAACUGGUCUGAGAGGAUGAUCAGUCACACUGGAACUGAGACACGGUCCAGACUCCUACGGGAGGCAGCAGUGGGGAAUAUUGGACAAAGGGCGAAAGCCUGAUCCAGCCAUGCCGCGUGUGUGAAGAAGGUCUUCGGAUUGUAAAGCACUUUAAGUUGGGAGGAAGGGCAGUAAGUUAAUACCUUGCUGUUUUGACGUUACCAACAGAAUAAGCACCGGCUAACUUCGUG